CCAGCCACCGGCAGCAGCACUGCCAGGGGAAAUGCCUUGUUGGUUUCUGAUGGCAGCAAUCUGCAUCCCAAAGGGCUUCCUGGCGCUGGCCGCCCAGAGGUGCUGCUUGCCUUGCUCAGAGCUGAUGCGGGUAGUUAUUUCCAGCUGUGCCGCUGGAUUCAGAGGGGGUGAUAAGGUUGAGUUGUAAUCUACUCUUAUCACCUAGUGGGUGCAGUGAUCUGUGCAGAAGUUUUAUUUGCUAAAUACCACGUUUUUGGUCAAGCCUAACCUAUAGGAGGAUAUACAAAGAGGACCAGCAAGUCCAAAGCUGUAUGGCUUUAAACAAUCAGCAGAUAUUUCUAACACUCAAAGAUAGCUUUUUAAAUCAUUUUUUUAAUGCAUAGUGUUUUGCUGGCAUCAAAAAGCCAUGAGAAAGCAACAACUAGUGUUUUUUAAUAGCUUUGUCUAGUCACCUAUAUAAAUGUAACGUACUUUGGUUUGCAUACACAGGUGUCUGCCUGCACCAGCGUCCACAAGUCUGUCUCGAUAAGAACGCUACUUGUAAAACUCCAGCAAAGCCAUGGCAGGAGUGGAGAGUAAGAAGAAGGAAUUUAAUAACUGGAAAGCUCCCUAGCCUGAACGAUACAAUUGAUAAGUAGCAUGGAUUCUUAGAAAGCUAACAUCUAUUGCAGCCUCUCUUUAAUAUGUUGGUUUCCUCUGUCUUUUUGGUUUUCCCCUGCAGCAGGGGUAAAAUAACUCUCUUGAAAAUAGCUGUGAUGGUAUAUAAUGUCAGAAUGGGUUUUAUUUUAUUUAUUUUUUUAAAGGUAUUAUUUUGAAGUUAUGUUUUACUAGUAAUUGAGGACUGGCCAACUGUUUUCUACUUGGGAGACGCGAGAGUUAGCGUGAGUGCUGCAGGAACAAGGCAGGACUCAGAAAAAAGAGUGACUGGAGGGUGAGUAGGUGGGCACGGUAACCAAUGUUUGGUGGAUAAUUGACUUUUUUCCACUAAAUGUUUGGCAAGCAGUUGGGAGGAGUCGUCAUCCGGAGGUGUGUCUGUGUUCUGACCACGAGAUAGGACUGCAGCCUCUGGCCAGUGCUCAAAGUGGGGGGAAGGUAAUAUGUAUCCCCGUAUAAUUUGGGGAUAUUUGUCCCAGGUUAGGUGGUCAGUGGGAGAGGGAGGAGACCUCAGUUGGAUCAGCACCUCCGUGAAGGGCAGUUCUGCACAUCAGCUCACAAACUGCAGGGAUCAGGUGGUAGUACAGGAGCCUGCUAUGCAGGAAGAGGCUGCUUUUUUGUGUGGUUUUGUUUUUUCCUUUUUAUUUAUUUAUUUUUUUCUGUUGCCUCUUUAAGGUAUGAAAAAGCUGUUACUUCACAUCUUUAACCAUCCAAGAGGGAGAUAGGGUAACCACAGAAAAAUGGUCUUGGUAUUUCUAAGACACAAAAGACACCUUUGCAGAAGAUGCUGUUAAACAUAUACAGGGGAAGAAAUAGCUACAUCACAAGGGCUCUGUGUCAGAACUGGCAUGUGUAGUAUUGUUCAUCUUUAUCUUGUUGAUGUCUCUUACCUGAAUUUUGUCACAGGUGAAGAUUUAUUGGGGUUCCUGUCUCAGUUUGGAUUGUGAAGGACUAACAUACUGAAGCUCAGGAUGUUGACAGCUGAGUUCUUGUUUCAUCAAGACACCACCUUGGAUUCGAGCUCAACCUGUUGCACAAUGGACAUGAGCUUCCUAACAUAGCUGUGGUGUACACCUCAUCAUCAUGAGAUGGCUCGGGGGGACGUGCUCUCCUGGAGAACUGUACAGCCGUGGUGAUGGUGCAUCUUCAGGAGCAGGGCCUGGCUGCAUUGCUCAUGCAGAAGAGGAUUACACGAAUUGAGCAGGUGUUGGCAUACAGUGGGUUGGCACAAGAACGCGAAUUCUUAGCAUAAUUUCCUUCCAGUCCUGCUGCUGCUCUUUCGGUUUAUAUUGCUGCAAAGUAUUUGUUACCGGUUUUCCCUGCGGUGCUUUGCUCUGUCCCAGUCAGAGACAAACACGCCUAGCCCAGGGAAUGGAGAAGGAUGAAGGGUGGCUAAUUCCAUCAUCAGAAACCUCACCUUUCCAUUGCACCUGCCUCACAGCAUAGCACUUUGAGGGAAAGUGAGGGUGAACUGAUUGCCACAUCGAUGGCACAAGCUAGUCUAAGCAGUGGCACAGGACCUGAAGCCCACGUUGGACG